AGUUCAGUCUUAUUCUAGAGUUUGAGUGAUAUAUGAUAUAAAAAUGGUAAAAAAAAAAUAGUACAUAAGACCUGCUAUAAUAUACUGCCUCCUCCAACAUGAUGAAAGGAGAAAUAGUAUGACUUGAAGACAUUUUAAAGGGUUGUUUGAAAUAGAUUGUUUGGGGGAAUGGGUAAUCUUGAGGGCAGGAAGCUGAGGGGAAAUACUGUUGAAAUUGGGAAGAUUAAAAGAAGCCAGUGAAGUGUUCAAAAACUUGAUUGAUCGGAAUGCAGAAAAUUGGUGUUAUUAUGAAGGCUUGGAAAAAGCUCUACAAAUUAGCACUUUAGAAGAGAGGCUUCAAAUUUAUGAAGAAAUUAGUAAGCAGCACCCCAAAGCAAUUACACCCAGAAGAUUACCUUUGACUCUUGUCCCAGGUGAAAGAUUUAGAGAACUAAUGGAUAAGUUCCUGAGG
rnacentral:sRNA from 1 species